rnacentral:rRNA from 1 species
UUCCCACGGGGCGCAGCAGUGGGGAAUAUUGCACAAUGGAGGAAACCCUGAUGCAGCAACGCCGCGUGAAGGAAGACGGUUUUCGGAUUGUAAACUUCUAUCAAUAGGGAAGAAAGAAAUGACGGUACCUAAAUAAGAAGCCCCGGCUAACUACGUGCCAGCAGCCGCGGUAAUACGUAGGGGGCAAGCGUUAUCCGGAAUUACUGGGUGUAAAGGGUGAGUAGGCGGCACUGUAAGUAAGAUGUGAAAGCCUUAGGCUUAACCUGAGGAUUGCAUUAUAAACUGCAGAGCUAGAGUGCAGUAGG